AAGGCUUUAAGUUAACUUAAAACUGUUAUCUUUCAAAGUUAAAAAUAUAAUUCAUGUUGUAAGCCUUA
rnacentral:tRNA from 1 species